AACGAACGCUGGCGGCAUGCCUAACACAUGCAAGUCGAACGAAGUCUUCGGACUUAGUGGCGCACGGGUGCGUAACGCGUGGGAAUCUGCCCUUGGGUACGGAAUAACUCAGAGAAAUUUGUGCUAAUACCGUAUAAUGUCUUCGGACCAAAGAUUUAUCGCCCAAGGAUGAGCCCGCGUAAGAUUAGCUAGUUGGUGGGGUAAAAGCCUACCAAGGCGACGAUCUUUAGCUGGUCUGAGAGGAUGAUCAGCCACACUGGGACUGAGACACGGCCCAGACUCCUACGGGAGGCAGGAGUGGGGAAUAUUGGACAAUGGGCGAAAGCCUGAUCCAGCAAGGCCGCGUGAGUGAUGAAGGCGCUAGGGUUGUAAAGCUCGUUUACCAGGGAUGAUAAUGACAGUACCUGGAGAAUAAGCUCCGGCUAACUCCGUG
rnacentral:rRNA from 1 species